AUGCAUAAGCAUCUGGAUUUGAGAGUUUGUUUUAUUUGCCAUGUUUUUGUACUACAAGCAAUGUUUUUUGUUGUUUCUCUACAGUGCUCAGUCAACAUGGCAAACAUGACAUCAAAUGUAAGCAACUAUGCAAGCAUUGCUACAAGUGAUAUGCAUCUGUUAUUUCUUACCAUUGUGGAUAAGUGCAAUGGUGAAGAUUAUUCCUAUGUUCGCUUGCCACUAGAAAUUUUAACUUUUGUGGUGGGCUUCCCAACAAAUGUGGCUAUGCUAUGGAUGCUAGUGAGGGGCGAGAAAGGUCUAUCACCCUCUGAAGUUUUGGGGCUUAAUCUUGCCGUGUUGAACAUCAUCUUCUGUAUCAGUCUUCCUUUUGAUAUGUACAUUUCUAUGACUGAGCGCGCUGGACAGCUCCUGACAGUUUCAGAGGCCAUUUCAAUCCUCAACCUGAUCGGCUGUCCUCUUCUCUUGACCAGUAUGUGUGUGGAGCGCUACCUGGCAGCAGCACAUCCAGUCCUCUACAUGAAACUAGGGAAUAAAUGGGAGUAUCGUGUUAUGUGCUUGGCUCUAAUUUGGAUUGUCACUUUAGGUGUUGCAGUGAUUACCUACCAUGAAAGGCUCCCUAAAUUAGCUUUGUACUUGUCAAUCACUCUUGAUGCUUUCUUACUCAUAAUGCUGGCGUGUCUAACAGGCAUUGUGCAAGUACUCCGCAAAAAAGGUCCAGGUGAAGGGCAAACUGGUGGAAGAGGUGGGUCAUCUGUAAAAAACAGAGCACUAAAUAACGCUUUGCUUAUUCUGAUCCCUUCAGCUGUUAUCUAUGGACCUCUCCUGGCUACCGCCCCUUACAUGUUGACACUUAAGGUUGGGGAUGAAGAAAUCAGUCACACAAGCUGUUUCAUCUUAAACCUGAUGCAUACCUUUCCCAGUCUUGGGACCUGUAUUGGGCCUGUGUUUUACAUGUCCCGCGCAAAACAACUAGCCUGCUGUAAGAAGAAUGCUGAAAAAGAACAAACAACGACUCAAGACCUACAGCAUCCAAAGUGA
ensembl:lncRNA